AACGCGAAGAACCUUACCUGGGCUCGAACGGCUUAAGAUCAUCCUUGGAAACAGGGACUUCUCGCAAGAGACUUGAGUCGAGGUGCUGCAUGGCUGUCGUCAGCUCGUGUCGUGAGAUGUUGGGUUAAGUCCCGCAACGAGCGCAACCCUUGUCCUGUGUUGCCACUCCCGCAAGGGAAGCACUCUCAGGAGACCGCCAGCGAUAAGUUGGAGGAAGGUGGGGAUGAUGUCAAGUCAUCAUGGCCUUUAUGUCCAGGGCUACACACGUGCUACAAUGGGCGGUACAAAGCGCUGCAAACCCGCGAGGGGGAGCUAAUCGCAAAAAACCGUCCUCAGUUCGGAUCGCAGGCUGCAACUCGCCUGCGUGAAGCUGGAAUCGCUAGUAAUGGCGUAUCAGAACGACGCCGUGAAUACGUUCCCGGGCCUUGUACACACCGUACGUC
rnacentral:rRNA from 1 species